UUUCAGUAUCACUCCCUGUUGCGCACAUUAAAAAGAAGCAGUCUAUGAGUUUCUAAAGACAGUGAAACGUCCAGGAUGUUCUUCCUGUGUCUGUCUCUGCUCUCUGCUGCUGCUUUUCUACAAAGCAGUGUCUCAGCAGGUGAAGCAGUGUCACUGAAGUGCAGUGAAGCAGUGGAAGUUG